UUUGAAUUUUCGUAAGAGAGGGAGACUUCAAAAGAGUCCCUCUCUGCCCUAUCUAUCGAGAGUCGAGACUUCCGAGUCUAAUUUCAAUUCCUUUCUCCAUCCGACCCUUUCAUGGUUCUUCCAAAUUUACCCCAAAUUUCUCAAGCUUUCUGUUUACAGACACGUAUGUAAACGGACCCUCAAUCUUCUCCUUCCUCACUGCUCCCCAAUUUUCAAACCCUAUCAUGGAUUCCCUCCGUUCUACUUACAAAGACGAAGACGAUGAAGAAGAUGAGUCCGUUCGCCCUUCUGAGAUCGACCCUCCUGAGCUUGCUGAUCCACCAAUGGAUACUAACGUCAGCGGCUCCUCAACUGACCCCCAGGACGGUACCAGACAAGACCCACCUGAUGCCUCUGAAGAAAUAUCCGAAGAGGAACCCGCCUCCGAUGACACUGAGAAAUCGGCUAAAUUAGCGAAGUCACCUGGGAAUGACGACGAUGACGAAGACCCACCUUCGAAAAAGCAAAAGCAAUUAUCUUCGCUUAACCAACCGGUGGAGGAGGAUAAAUCGGCAUUACCCGGAUCGAAUUCUGCUAAAAACGACGGUUCCGCCGGUGGCAAUGCUGCUCCGGUGGCCACGGCUUUGAAUCCGAAGAAAUCAAAGAAGAAGAACAAUAAUGUUUGGGUUACGAAGUCGACCCGGAAAGGGAAAAAGAAGAACAAAGCUAAUAACAAUAACAAUGCUCCAACUGAGGACCCUGUGUUGAUCACUCCAGUUCCGAGGUUCCCUGACAAAGGAGAUGACAAUAACGAUAUGCAAAUAUGUUUGUCAAAGGUUUACAAAGCGGAGAAAGUUGAAUUGAGUGAUGAUAGAAUGAGUGCUGGUAGUACAAAAGGGUAUAGAAUGGUGAGAGCCACAAGAGGGGUGGAGGAAGGGGCGUGGUAUUUUGAAAUCAAGGUGGUGAGCUUGGGGGAGACCGGGCAUACUCGACUUGGAUGGUCGACGGAUAAAGGGGACUUGCAGGCUCCGGUGGGGUACGACGGGAACAGUUUUGGGUAUAGAGAUAUUGAUGGAAGUAAAGUGCAUAAGGCUUUAAGAGAGAAAUAUGGAGAGGAGGGAUAUAAGGAAGGUGAUGUUAUCGGUUUCUAUAUCAAUUUGCCUGAUGGGGCUCUGUAUGCGCCCAAGCCACCUCAUUUUGUUUGGUAUAAGGGACAGAGGUAUAUUUGUGCUCCUGAAGGGAAAGAGGAGCCGCCUAAAGUAGUUCCUGGGAGAAACCAUUUGGAAAAACAGUUUCAGAGACAGCAAAGAAAAGUGAUAUAAAAAUAGAAUGUCCAGAUCAAUAAGUUAAAACUCAAGAUAUUGUACUAAAUACAAGAUGCAUGCUGUUUCCACCUUAUUUGGAGACAUCGAAUGCCUGCAAUUGGUUGUAUUUGUAAGUGAUAAAACUGAAGCCGCAAUUCACUUAUUCCAAGAUGAAUAAACACUUCAAAGUGUAUCAGGCAGGGCACAAACAUAAAUGUCCCUGGUAGAGCAGUACAUUAUCUGUGAACAGGGAGAAAUCACCCUCUCGGGACAACUUUGUCUGCCGAAAUCAGGCUCGAGGCUAGGAUCGCCCUGUUGACCAUCUAUAAUGUUCUGUCUUAAGGUUGAACUUGUCAACUGUGCCAUUUGGGAAGUAAUUUCCCCUAUCACCACCGGAAGCGAAAUUUCUUUCUUCAAAAACGGAGUGUGCCAAGGGAUUGCUUUUACAGAUCUAAAUGGAGGCCGCUAUUAUCCUGCAGCCUCCAUGUACACUCUCCCUAAUCAACCAAAUUGUGUUGUCAAGUUCAACUUUG